rnacentral:rRNA from 1 species
AUGGCUAGCUUCGGCGUCGACACGCGCCCCGCCGCGGCGGGGGAGGGGGCGCUCUCCUUCCUCUCCCGGAGCCUGCGGGAGGACCUGCGCCUCAUCCGCGCGCGCGCCGGGGAGCUCGAGACCUUCCUCAGCGCGCCGGUCCCGGAGCCCGACCUCUUCGCGCGCCUCCGGAGGGCCUACAACACCACCUCCUCCUCCUCCGCCGCCUCGGGGAUCGGGAGGACGCGCCUGGACCUGUCGGCGAUAGGGAAGGCGUUCGAGGCCGAGGUCGGGAGGGGGUGGGGGGCCAAGACCGGGUGGAGGUGGGAGGACGAGGACGCCGCCGAGUGGGAGCCCAUACGGGCCGUCAAGGCGCGCCUCAGGGACCUCGACCGCAAGCGCCAGGACCAGGCCAGCGACGUGCUCCACAAGGUCAAGCUCAGCCUGAAAUCGAUGAGCUUUGCACCUGAAGCAUCUGAGGAAGUUCCACCACUGGAUUUAAACGAACUCCUUGCGUAUUUUCUAAAGCAAUCUGGACCAUUGUUUGACCAACUUGGCAUAAAAAGAGAUGUGUGUGACAAGUUGGUGGAGUCUCUAUGCAGCAAGCGCAAGGAUCACUUUGCAUAUGAUCCGUUGUCAACUAGUGAAUCAUCUUCCUUCAGAAAUGACAAUACUUGUGAUGAACUUGACCUAAGAAUAGCUAGCGUCCUUCAGAGUACAGGGCAUCAUUAUGAAGGUGGUUUUUGGGAUGAUGGGCAAAAAUAUGAUGUAGCUGACAAGAGACACGUUGCCAUUGUCACUACCGCCAGUCUUCCCUGGAUGACGGGAACAGCUGUAAAUCCUUUGUUUCGAGCUGCAUACUUGGCUAAAUCUUCCAAGCAAUACGUAACCUUGAUGGUGCCCUGGCUUUGCAAGUCAGACCAAGAGCUCGUCUAUCCGAAUAACAUGACUUUUAGUUCUCCAGAAGACCAAGAAACUUAUAUAAGGAAUUGGCUGGAGGAAAGAGUUGGAUUUAAAACCGACUUCAGAAUAUCAUUCUACCCUGGAAAGUUUCAGAAAGAAAGGAGAAGUAUAAUUCCUGCUGGGGAUACUUCACAAUUUAUACCAUCGAAGGAAGCUGACAUUGCAAUUCUGGAAGAGCCUGAGCACCUGAACUGGUACCAUCAUGGAAAGCGUUGGACUGAUAAAUUUAAUCAUGUUGUCGGUGUUGUGCAUACAAAUUACUUGGAGUAUAUCAAGAGAGAGAAGAAUGGUGCUAUUCAAGCUUUUUUUGUCAAGCACAUUAACAACCUUGUUGCCAGAGCUUAUUGCCAUAAGGUUUUGCGACUAUCUGGGGCUACUCAAGAUCUAGCCAGAUCCAUGAUCUGCAAUGUACAUGGUGUUAAUCCCAAGUUUCUGGAGGUUGGGGAGAGAAUAGCAGCAGAGAGGGAAUCUGGCGAGCAGUCCAUGUCCAAAGGAGCUUAUUUUCUGGGGAAGAUGGUCUGGGCCAAAGGCUACAGAGAACUGAUAGAUUUGCUUGCGAAGCACAAGACAGAUUUGGACGGUUUCAAAUUGGACGUCUAUGGAAAUGGUGAAGAUUCAGUUGAAGUGCAAUCAGCUGCCAAGAAGCUGGAUUUGAAUCUUAACUUCCAUAAAGGCCGAGAUCAUGCAGACGAUUCUCUUCAUGGGUACAAGGUUUUUGUAAACCCGAGCAUUAGUGAUGUCCUCUGCACCGCCACUGCUGAGGCGCUAGCCAUGGGCAAGUUUGUGGUCUGCGCAGAUCACCCAUCCAACGAUUUCUUCAGAUCAUUCCCAAACUGCCUGGUGUACACAACGUCAGAGGAUUUCGUUGCCAAAGUGAAGGAAGCAAUGACCCGUGAUCCCCAGCCCCUCACACCUGAGCAGCGGUACAACCUUUCGUGGGAGGCUGCGACCCAGAGGUUCAUGGAGCACUCGGAGCUGGACAAGGUCCUGAGCAGCAAUGGUGAUUGUGCCAGCACAUCUGGAAACAGCGUCGACAGGAGGAUGAAGAAAUCAGCCUCGUUGCCAAACAUGUCGGACAUCGUGGAUGGCGGCCUAGCAUUUGCCCACUACUGCUUCACGGGCAGCGAGCUUCUCCGGCUGUCGACCGGGGCGGUGCCCGGGACCCUGAACUACAACAAGCAACAUAGCGUGGACAUGCACCUGCUGCCCCCUCAGGUACAGAAUCCUGUAUAUGGCUGGUAA